rnacentral:rRNA from 1 species
AGAAUUAACGCUGGCGGCGUGCCUAACACAUGCAAGUCGAACGCGGUUACCCCGCAAGGGGUAACUGAGUGGCGAACGGGUGAGUAACACGUGGGUGACCUACCUUCGAAUGGGGGAUAACGUCCCGAAAGGGACGCUAAUACCGCAUAACAUCCUGCCUUUGAACAGGCGGAGAUCAAAGCCGGGAUCGCAAGACCUGGCGUUUGAAGAGGGGCCCGCGUCCGAUUAGCUAGUCGGUGAGGUAACGGCUCACCAAGGCGACGAUCGGUA